UACGUAGGGUGCAAGCGUUAAUCGGAAUUACUGGGCGUAAAGCGUGCGCAGGCGGUUCUAUAAGACAGAUGUGAAAUCCCCGGGGCUCAACCUGGGAACUGCAUUUGUGACUGUAGAGCUGGAGUACGGUAGAGGGGGAUGGAAUUCCGCGUGUAGCAGUGAAAUGCGUAGAUAUGCGGAGGAACACCGAUGGCGAAGGCAAUCCCCUGGACCUGUACUGUACGCUCAUGCACGAAAAGCGUGGGGAGCAAACAGG
rnacentral:rRNA from 1 species